rnacentral:rRNA from 1 species
UAAUAAGUAGGGGGGGAGCGUUGUCCGGAUUUAUUGGGUGUAAAGGGCGUGUAGGCGGCCCGGAAAGUCGAGUGUGAAAUACCCCGGGUCAACUGGGGAGGGACGCUCGAGACAUUCGGGCUUGAGGGCAGGAGAGGGAAGUGGAAUUCCCGGUGUAGCGGUGAAAUGCGUGGAUAUCGGGAGGAACACCAGUGGCGAAGGUGGCUUCCUGGACUGCACCUGACGGUGGGGCGCGAAAGACAGGGGAGCGAACAGGCUUAGAUACCCCCGUAGUCCGGCCCCUAAA